rnacentral:rRNA from 1 species
GGGGAUUCACCCGGGCAAGGCUCUGGGAAGGGGAGAGGGGGAUAGGUUUGAUUUUAUACUCUGCGGGGGGGGGGCAGGCCCCCCCCCUCGGUGGGGAGAGGGAAUUAAUGGUGAAAAUAAAAUUAUUAUAAUGAGGCCGGCCCGGGCUAAAUAGGGUACGGAAAUAAGUUUUUACUGUCCCUUUAUCGCUCCUUAGAGGGACUUGGCGGUUAUAAAUUGCAAGGAAGUUUAAGGCAAUAACAGGUCUGUGAUGCCCUUAGAUGUCCUGGGCUGCACGCGCGCUACACUGAUGCGUUCAUCGAGUUUAUCCUUGGCCGAGAGGCCUGGGUAAUCUUUAGUACGCAUCGUGAUGGGGAUCGAUUAUUGCAAUUGUUAAUCGUGAACGAGGAAUGCCUAGUAUGCGCAAGUCAUCAGCUUGUGCAGAUUACGUCCCUGCCCUUUGUACACACCGCCCGUCGCUCCUACCGAUCGAGUGAUCCGGGAAUUACUCGGACUGCAUUCGCCGGGCUGCAUUG